rnacentral:rRNA from 1 species
GGAGUCUCCGGACGCNGUUGGGAAAGGUAGGCCUCUUCUUGAAAGACUACCACCGAAGGAUGAGCCUGCGUCCCAUCAGCUAGUUGGUAAGGUAAUGGCUUACCAAGGCGAAGACGGGUAGCUGGUUUGAGAGAAUGAUCAGCCACACUGGCACUGGAACACGGGCCAGACUCCUACGGGAGGCAGCAGUGAGGAAUAUUGGGCAAUGGGCGAAAGCCUGACCCAGCCACGCCGCGUGAGUGAUGAAGGCCCUCGGGUCGUAAAGCUCUGUGGAGAGGGACGAAAACCCUGGUUUCAAAUAGGCUCCAGGCUUGACGGUACCUCUUUAGCAAGCACCGGCUAACUCUGUG